rnacentral:rRNA from 1 species
AUUGAACGCUGGCGGCAUGCUUUACACGUGCAAGUCGAACGGCAGCGCGGGCUUCGGCCUGGCGGCGAGUGGCGAACGGGUGAGUAAUGCAUCGGAACGUGCCCAGUAGUGGGGGAUAGCCCGGCGAAAGCCGGAUUAAUACCGCAUACGACCUGAGGGUGAAAGCGGGGGACCGAAAGGCCUCGCGCUAUUGGAGCGGCCGAUGUCGGAUUAGCUAGUUGGUGGGGUAAAGGCUUACCAAGGCGACGAUCCGUAGCUGGUCUGAGAGGACGACCAGCCACACUGGGACUGAGACACGGCCCAGACUCCUACGGGAGGCAGCAGUGGGGAAUUUUGGACAAUGGGGGCAACCCUGAUCCAGCCAUGCCGCGUGCGGGAAGAAGGCCUUCGGGUUGUAAAACGCUUUUGUUCGGGAAGAAAUCCUCUGGGCUAAUACCCCGGGGGGAUGACGGUACCGGAAGAAUAAGCACCGGCUAACUACGUG